rnacentral:rRNA from 1 species
GAUGAACGCUGGCGGCGUGCCUAAUACAUGCAAGUCGAGCGAACAGACGAGGAGCUUGCUCCUCUGACGUUAGCGGCGGACGGGUGAGUAACACGUGGAUAACCCACCUAUAAGACUGGGAUAACUUCGGGAAACCGGAGCUAAUACCGGAUAAUCUAUUGAACCGCAUGGUUCAAUAGUGAAAGACGGCUUUGCUGUCACUUAUAGAUGGAUCCGCGCCGCAUUAGCUAGUUGGUAAGGUAACGGCUUACCAAGGCAACGAUGCGUAGCCGACGUGAGAGGGUGAUCGGCCACCCUGGAACUGAGACACGGUCCAGACUCCUACGGGAGGGAGCAGUAGGGAAUCUGCCGCAAUGGGCGAAAGCUUGACGGAGCAACGCCGCGUGAGAGAUGAAGGUCUUCGGAUCGUAAAACUCUGUUAUUAGGGAAGAACAAAUGUGUACGUAGCUAUGCACGUCUUGACGGUACCUGAUCAGAAAGCCACGGCUAACUACGUG